GACGAACGCUGGCGGCGUGCCUAACACAUGCAAGUCGAGCGGUAACAGGUGUAGCAACACAUGCUGACGAGCGGCGGACGGGUGAGUAACGCUUGGGAAUCUGCCUGAUAGUGGGGGACAACCCGGGGAAACUCGGGCUAAUACCGCAUACGCACUACGGUGGAAAGCCGGGGACCGCAAGGCCUGGCGCUAACAGAUGAGCCCAAGUCGGAUUAGCUAGUUGGUAGGGUAACGGCCUACCAAGGCGACGAUCCGUAACUGGUCUGAGAGGACGACCAUGCCCACCGGAACUGAGACACGGUCCGGACUCCUACGGUAGGCAGCAGUGAGGAAUAUUGGACAAUGGGCGAAAGCCUGAUCCAGCGACGCCGCGUGGGUGAAGAAGGCCUGCGGGUUGUAAAGCCCUUUCGGUGGGGAAGAAAAGCCUCGAGCUAAUACCUCGGGGUCUUGACGUAACCCAUAGAAGAAGCACCGGCUAACUCUGUGCCAGCCGCCGCGGUAACAC
rnacentral:rRNA from 1 species